UACCAGAGACUCGAAUGACCCGUGUUUGAACGUUUUCGCGUUGAAACCACGUUAAAACAGUAUCUCUCAGUCGAUAUAACCAAAGUACCUGGUGCGUUUCAGGUUGACGGUUUGACGGUGAAACGUUCAUCUUCAUCUCUGCAACACGUUUGCACAUAAUUCGGAAAAUAAUUAUUCGUCACAUGUGUGUUGAUACAUACAUGUCCCUCUAUCAUUGAAUAUAAUACGUAUACAAGUACGUGUAAAAACUCAGCAACAUACGCUCGUGCUCAAUUACGCUAGCAACAGUAAAAGAAUUGUAGAAAAAGAAAUAAUAAUAACAAUAGAAAAAAGAAGAAAAAGAAGAAGAAACAACAACAACAACAACAACAACACAACGACAACGCAAAGACAACCUCAAGACCGGACAAACAAAUUGCAAGAAACUCGACUCGUGCAGGAAGGAAGUCAAAAACAUUCAACACGUGCACAUUGCGUCGUUAAGGGAGCACAAUCAAAGGACAAGAAGAAGAAGACGAAGAGAAGAAGGAAAAAACGUAAGAAAGAACAGAACAAUUGCUACCGUCGUCGUGAAACAAAGAGAAUCAGUAGUGACUCGUCCCAUCUUAGUGAGACUGUACACAAGACGAGAUUUCAAGAUUGCAUUUUUUUUUCUCCUCACUUCGCUUCUCGUGAAGGAGAAAAAGACGUAAAAAAAACACAAUAAUAAUAGUAAUAAGAAUAAAAAUUCGCACAAAUUUAUAAAGAGACUGGGUUGUAUAAACGACAAAUGGAUAAAAAAAAAUCGUCGCUAAUUUAGAGAGAUAAGUUAUCUCUGCAGUGUAAUAACGCGUAUUAUUAUACCUUCGCAUACAUACAUAUAUAUAUAAUACAUAUAUAAGUUUCUGUGUCAUUCGUUGAUUGACAAACGUGCGGCUCGCUACUCGUCUCGCUGAUGUGAAAAAGGAAAGGAAAAAAAAAAAGAAUAGAUAAACCAAAAUCGAGGAAGUACGAUAAAGUGGCAAACAAAAUUUGAUCAAAGAGUAAAAGAAAAAGGAGAAGUUUCUAAUAAAAAAAAAAAAAAAAUUAAUAAAUAAAACGACAAUAUUUUCUCAAUCGACGUAAAAAUCCGCGAGUUCCUCGAAUAUUUUCAAUAUUGUUGUCACACGCGCGAGUGCAAUUAAAUUCACGUUAAAAACAUUUUUGAACGCAUGAAAAAAAAAAAAAAAAAAAAUUAGCGUCGUAACAAAUUAAUACAUACACGCAUAUAUACAUAUGCAUACAUACACGUAUAAUAUUGUAAUAAAUACAAAUUAGACACGUCUUAUUUCUCGUCUCGCUGUGCUGCCAUCGUCAUCGUCGUCGUCGUCGUCGUCCGUCGUUUUAGGCAUUAACGCUAAGUGAUAUAAAUUGAAAAAAUAAGAGUCAGAUAGCAAGCAAGCGUAGCAAACUCCGUGAGCCGUCGCCGCGGAUUGGAUUUUCGAAAGGAGUUGCCCGAUUGGACGAGCCGUCGAAAGGAGAAUAACGCCGAUUGGUCGACGGUAAAAGUAGCCGAUGCUGCGCGGCAAGAGAUUCCCGAGCGACUCUCUCAUCAUAUUCCGUCUCUGAUCUAGUACAUCGUCGUCGUCCUCCUCCUCCUUUUGCAUCGUCGUGUUGCCGGUUUACACACAGAGAGAGAAAGAAAGAGAGAGAGAAAGAGAGAGGGAGAAAGAGAGAACGAGAAAGAUUAACUUGUAUUAAAUAGUUGUUGUAAAAAGUAAAUUUUGAAAAAAAAAAAAAAAAAAAAAACUUCCACGUAUUAUUUCGGGAUUGAAAUUCGUUUCACGCACGCACGACGUUAAGAGACGUCGAGUAAGGAGAGAAUGUAACAACGAUUGGAAAUAAAUCGGAUAGGAUCGAAGGAUAAAAAUAAAAGAAAGAAAAAACCCGACUCGUGUGAAGAGGCGAUGAAGAAGUGAAUAUCACUUUGGAAAUAUAAACAUAUUUAUAUCUAUUUAAAUAAAUUAAAUAUUUAGCCGUUCUUUUAUUCAUUCCGUUCGGUUUGCCUGGCAAAGUGCGACCGCGAAGCGUGGAGCAAAAAUUUCACCGUCAGAAUUCAGAGGGAAUUUAUAAACAGCAGGAAAAAAGGCUGAAAAGCGCGUUGUGCAAUCCGCGUUCUAGCUGAAAAACUAAAUUCAUCAUUUUCCAAUCGCCAUGGAGCUGAAAAUUUUGAAAAUGUGGUGACAGGAGAAAGGCGAAGGCCUCAAGUGAUCCAGACACUCUCUUGUGUGUGAGCCAUAUAGUAAAUCGUAUAUAUACUUAUGCAUAUGUAGAUAAUUUUGCCAAAAUAGAUACAGCGUGUAAUCCCUGCCUUGAUAAAGUAUCCAGACGAUAAUUGUUAAACAAGUGAAAACGCAAAGAUCGAAAAAAGAAGGAGAUUGAAAAAAUAGAAAAACCCAGCGGAAAAAAAAAACAAUUGAGAGAGGAGAGAGAUAAAUAGAGAAGUAGAAAAUUUUUCGCAAGUUUUCGAGGAAAAGCUCGAUCGUCGGGAAACCGUAACGAGAAGACGAAAUCCUGCCCGGAAAUAAAGAAGAGGAGAACAACGUCGUACACGCUAAAAGGAGUGAACGUAUAACGGAAGAAUAUUUGAAAAAAAAAACAAAACGAAACAACACGGAUAAAACUUUUUUUUUUCAUGCCUUUGGGGAAAAGUAAAAAAAUAAAUUAACAUUCACAUCAAUAGCAUAAGAGUGAAAUUAUAUUCAACUGUAGUGAAUAACGACAAUAAUUAUUAUUAUUAUUAUUACCCUAUCGCCGAAAUCGAAAGGUUUGAAUACGUUUAUAAUUAAUUGUGAUAAAACGCGAACCGGAUAAAAACAUAAAAAAAGAAAUCAAUUUUUCAAGAACAGUGAAGAAUAGACGAACUUAUAAAAAACCUAAAAACUAGAAGUGUUUUUAAGAAAAAAACCAGACUCGUCGAAAGAAAAAAAGG